rnacentral:rRNA from 1 species
GGGUCAGUAGGUUGGUCGUGCCACCGGUACGUACUGGUCUCACUGAUUCCUCCUUCCUGAAGAACCGUAAUGCCAUUAAUUUGGUGUUGCGGGGAAACAGGACUGUUACUUUGAAAAAAUUAGAGCGUGUAAAGCAAGCUAACGCUUGAAUACAUUAGCAUGGAAUAAUGAAAUAGGACGAUCGAUCCUAUUUUGUUGGUUUCUAGGAUUGACGUA